AUUGAACGCUGGCGGCAGGCCUAACACAUGCAAGUCGAGCGGAUGAAGGGAGCUUGCUCCUGGAUUCAGCGGCGGACGGGUGAGUAAUGCCUAGGAAUCUGCCUGGUAGUGGGGGAUAACGUCCGGAAACGGGCGCUAAUACCGCAUACGUCCUGAGGGAGAAAGUGGGGGAUCUUCGGACCUCACGCUAUCAGAUGAGCCUAGGUCGGAUUAGCUAGUUGGUGGGGUAAAGGCCUACCAAGGCGACGAUCCGUAACUGGUCUGAGAGGAUGAUCAGUCAAACGGGAAAUGGGAACGGGCCCAGAUCCUACGGGGAGGCAGCGGUGGGGAAUAUUGGAAAAGGGGCGAAAGCCUAAUCCAGCCAGCCCGGGUGGGGGAAGAAGGUCUUCGGAUUUUAAAGCAUUUUAAGUUGGGAGGAAGGGCAGUAAGUUAAAACCUUGUUUUUUUGACGUUCCCAACAGAAAAAGCACCGGCUAACUUCGG
rnacentral:rRNA from 1 species